rnacentral:rRNA from 1 species
UUACACAUGCAAGUCGGACGGCAGCAUAGAAGAGCUUGCUCUUUUGAUGGCGAGUGGCGAACGGGUGAGUAACGCAUCGGAACGUACCGAGUAGUGGGGGAUAACUGUCCGAAAGGAUGGCUAAUACCGCAUAUUCUCUGAGGAGGAAAGCAGGGGACCUUAGGGCCUUGCGCUAUUUGAGCGGCCGAUGUCUGAUUAGCUAGUUGGUGGGGUAAGAGCCCACCAAGGCGACGAUCAGUAGCGGGUCUGAGAGGAUGAUCCGCCACACUGGGACUGAGACACGGCCCAGACUCCUACGGGAGGCAGCAGUGGGGAAUUUUGGACAAUGGGCGCAAGCCUGAUCCAGCCAUGCCGCGUGUAUGAAGAAGGCCUUCGGGUUGUAAAGUACUUUUGUCAGGGAAGAAAAGCCGCCGGCUAAUACCCGGCGGUGAUGACGGUACCUGAAGAAUAAGCACCGGCUAACUACGUGCCAGCAGCCGCGGUAAUACGUAGGGUGCGAGCGUUAAUCGGAAUUACUGGGCGUAAAGCGAGCGCAGACGGUUAUUUAAGCAAGAUGUGAAAGCCCCGGGCUCAACCUGGGAACUGCGUUUUGAACUGGGUAACUAGAGUGUGUCAGAGGGGGGUAGAAUUCCACGUGUAGCAGUGAAAUGCGUAGAGAUGUGGAGGAAUACCGAUGGCGAAGGCAGCCCCCUGGGAUAACACUGACGUUCAUGCUCGAAAGCGUGGGUAGCAAACAGGAUUAGAUACCCUGGUAGUCCACGCCCUAAACGAUGUCAAUUAGCUGUUGGGGUACAUGAUGC